GAGGGCGGGGGUGCUAUACAUGCAGUCGAGCGAACAGAUAAGGAGCUUGCUCCUUUGACGUUAGCGGCGGACGGGUGAGUAACACGUGGGUAACCUACCUAUAAGACUGGGAUAACUUCGGGAAACCGGAGCUAAUACCGGAUAAUAUUUCGAACCGCAUGGUUCGAUAGUGAAAGAUGGUUUUGCUAUCACUUAUAGAUGGACCCGCGCCGUAUUAGCUAGUUGGUAAGGUAACGGCUUACCAAGGCGACGAUACGUAGCCGACCUGAGAGGGUGAUCGGCCACACUGGAACUGAGACACGGUCCAGACUCCUACGGGAGGCAGCAGUAGGGAAUCUUCCGCAAUGGGCGAAAGCCUGACGGAGCAACGCCGCGUGAGUGAUGAAGGUCUUCGGAUCGUAAAACUCUGUUAUUAGGGAAGAACAUACGUGUAAGUAACUGUGCACGUCUUGACGGUACCUAAUCAGAAAGCCACGGCUAACUACGUGCCAGCAGCCGCGGUAAUACGUAGGUGGCAAGCGUUAUCCGGAAUUAUUGGGCGUAAAGCGCGCGUAGGCGGUUUUUUAAGUCUGAUGUGAAAGCCCACGGCUCAACCGUGGAGGGUCAUUGGAAACUGGAAAACUUGAGUGCAGAAGAGGAAAGUGGAAUUCCAUGUGUAGCGGUGAAAUGCGCAGAGAUAUGGAGGAACACCAGUGGCGAAGGCGACUUUCUGGUCUGUAACUGACGCUGAUGUGCGAAAGCGUGGGGAUCAAACAGGAUUAGAUACCCUGGUAGUCCACGCCGUAAACGAUGAGUGCUAAGUGUUAGGGGGUUUCCGCCCCUUAGUGCUGCAGCUAACGCAUUAAGCACUCCGCCUGGGGAGUACGACCGCAAGGUUGAAACUCAAAGGAAUUGACGGGACCCGCACAAGCGUGGAGCAUGUGUUAAUUCGAAGCACGCGAGACCUUACCAAAUCUUGACAUCCCUUUGACACUC
rnacentral:rRNA from 1 species